GACGAACGCUGGCGGCGUGCCUAAUACAUGCAAGUCGAACGAGUGGCGGACGGGUUAGUAAUGUAUGGGGAUCUGCGCGAUAGAGGGGGAUAACUACUGGAAACGGUGGCUAAUACCUCAUACUAUCGGAUGUACGCAUAUGGGAUUAGCUAGUAGGUGGGGUAAAGGCUCACCUAGGCGACGAUCUCUAGCUGGUCUGAGAGGAUGAUCAGCCACACUGGAACUGAGACACGGUCCAGACUCCUACGGGAGGCAGCAGUGGGGAAUAUUGGACAAUGGGCGCAAGCCUGAUCCAGCCAUACCGCGUGGGUGAAGAAGGCCUUCGGGUUGUAAAGCACUUUUGGUGGGGAAGCGGUACCCAAAGAAUAAGCACCGGCUAACUUCGUGCCAGCAGCCGCGGUAAUAC
rnacentral:rRNA from 1 species